GAUGAACGCUGGCGGCGUGCCUAAUACAUGCAAGUCGAGCGAACAGACGAGGAGCUGCCUCCUUUGACGUUAGGGGCGGAGGGGUGUGAAACACGGGGAAACCCUCCUUAAAAUCCGGGGAAACCUUGGGAAAACGGGAGCAAAUCCGGGAGAAUAAUUGUAACGGCAUGGUUCAUUAGUGAAAGACGGUUUUGCUUUCACUUAUGGAUGAUCCGGUUCCGCAUUAGAUAGUUGGUAAGGUAAGGGUUUACCAGGGCAAGGAUGCGUAGCCGAACGGAGCGGGUGGUAGGCCACCCUGGAACUGAGACACGGACAAGAGUCCUAAGGGAGGCCGCAGUCGGGAACCGUCCGCAAUGGGCGGAAGCCUGACGGAGCAACGCCGAGUGAGUGAUGGAGGUCUUCGGAUCGUAAAACUCUGUUAUUAGGGAAGAACACAUGUGUAAGUAAAUGUGCCCGUAUUGACGGUACCUAAUCAGAAAGCCACGGCUAACUACGUG
rnacentral:rRNA from 1 species